GGGAAUUUUGGGCAAUGGACGAANCCUUUGANCCAGCCAUGCCGCGUGCGGGAAGAAGGCCUUCGGGUUGUAAACCGCUUUUGUCAGGGAAGAAAAGCGCUGGGCUAAUACCCCGGCGUCAUGACGGCACCUGAAGAAUAAGCACCGGCUAACUACGUGCCAGCAGCCGCGGUAAUACGUAGGGUGCAAGCGUUAAUCGGAAUUACUGGGCGUAAAGCGNGCGCAGGCGGCUUUGCAAGACAGAUGUGAAAUCCCCGGGCUCAACCUGGGAACUGCAUUUGUGACUGCAAGGCUAGAGUACGGUAGAGGGGAGUGGAAUUCCGCGUGUAGCAGUGAAAUGCNUAUAUAUGCGGAGGAACACCGAUGGCGAAGGCAGCUCCCUGGACCUGUACUGACGCUCAUGCACGAAAGCGUGGGGAGCAAACAGGAUUAGAUACCCUGGUAGUCCACGCCCUAAACGAUGUCAACUGGUUGUUGGGAGGGUUUCUUCUCAGUAACGUANCCUAACGCGUGAAGUUGACCGCCUGGGGAGUACGGCCGCAAGGUUG
rnacentral:rRNA from 1 species